GAUGAACGCUAGCGGGAGGCUUAACACAUGCAAGUCGAGGGGCAUCACGAGGUAGCAAUACUUUGGUGGCGACCGGCGCACGGGUGAGUAACGCGUAUGCAACCUCCCCUGUACAGUGGGAUAACCCGGAGAAAUUCGGACUAAUACCGCAUAAAGAUAUUUUGAGGCAUCUUCAGAUAUUUAAAGCUUAGGUGGUACGGGAUGGGCAUGCGUAACAUUAGCUGGUUGGUAGGGUAACGGCCUACCAAGGCGAUGAUGUUUAGGGGACCUGGGAGGGUGAUCCCCCACACUGGUACUGAGACACGGACCAGACUCCGACGGGAGGCAGCAGUGAGGAAUAUUGGUCAAUGGGCGGAAGCCUGAACCAGCCAUCCCGCGUGCAGGAAGACAGCCCUAUGGGUUGUAAACUGCUUUUCCAGUGGGCGAAACACUCGUACGUGUACGAGAUUGACGGUACACUGGGAAUAAGCAUCGGCUAACUCCGUGCCAGCAGCCGCAGUAACAC
rnacentral:rRNA from 1 species